GACGAACGCUGGCGGCGUGCCUAUACAUGCAAGUCGAACGAGUGGCGGACGGGUGAGUAAUGUCUGGGAAACUGCCUGAUGGAGGGGGAGAACUACUGGAAAAGGUAGCUAAUACCGCAUACCAUCGGAUGUGCCCAGAUGGAAUUGGCUAGUAGGUUGGGUAAAGGCGCACCUAGGCGACGAUCCCUAGCUGGUCUGAUAGGAUGACCAGCCACACUGGAACUGAGACACGGUCCAGACUCCUACGGGAGGCAGCAUUGGGGAAUAUUGCACAAUGGGCGCAAGCCUGAUGCAGCCAUGCCGCGUGUAUGAAGAAGGCCUGCGGGUUGUAAAGUACUUUCAGCGGGGAGGCGUUACCCGCAGAAGAAGCACCGGCUAACUCCGUGCCAGCAGCCGCGGUAAUUC
rnacentral:rRNA from 1 species